AUUGAACGCUGGCGGCAUGCUUUACACAUGCAAGUCGAACGGCAGCGCGGGGGCAACCCUGGCGGCGAGUGGCGAACGGGUGAGUAAUAUAUCGGAACGUACCCAGAAGUGGGGAUAACGUAGCGAAAGUUACGCUAAUACCGCAUACGAUCUACGGAUGAAAGUGGGGGACCUUCGGGCCUCAUGCUUUUGGAGCGGCCGAUAUCUGAUUAGCUAGUUGGUGAGGUAAAGGCUCACCAAGGCGACGAUCAGUAGCUGGUCUGAGAGGACGACCAGCCACACUGGAACUGAGACACGGUCCAGACUCCUACGGGAGGCAGCAGUGGGGGAAUUUUGGACAAUGGGGGGCAACCCUGAUCCAGCAAUGCCGCGUGAGUGAAGAAGGCCUUCGGGUUGUAAAGGACUCUUUUGUCAGGGAGAAACGGGGUAGGCGUAAGUAUACUGGCUCCUAAUGACGGUGCC
rnacentral:rRNA from 1 species